AUUAAGUCCUAACGCAGAGGACCGGGGGAAUGAAAAGUUCAUAUCAUCUAUAGUCCAGUUCACGCAGUUGACACCUCUGACCUUGGGAUCUAUGACGCACCCAGGUAUCCUGUUGAGCAUCUGGUUUGGGGCCUGGGCAAAAACAGAUUGGGCCCAAUCCAUUUACC